rnacentral:misc_RNA from 1 species
CUAACAUUUUGAAAUGUGAUGCUUUUGUUCAGUAAUGAACCUAGUGCAGGGAUCUACUGGCUGAUAGGCUGGCAAUGCCGCGGUCCUGCGCUCUAUGGGAGAUACACAAUGAUCUGCAAAUGUUUUUGUUAAGAUUAUCGGAAAUCUGUUGAGCAGAUAACAAGCUGUGAUUGUGAAUUGUACACACCAUUAAACAGCAGAUCUUCAUUAUCUGAAGAGGAUUACAAUCGUAACUACUCUAUACAGCUAGGAUCCAAACAAUUUUACUUUGACGUGAGAUGUCUAACAUUGACCAUGUUAUCAAGUUGACAAUUAGUAUUUGGACUUAGUACAUUUGAAAUAGAAGAUUCUUAAGACAAUAUUUAAUAAUAUACAGAUGAAAAAGUAUUUUUGUUAAGUUCGUGUGUGGACAAAAUGAAAAAAGACUUUCUGUGCUUGACGGGAAGGAAAACGUCUUUGAAAUUAAAAAAAAAUGGAGUAAUUGUACAUAAAUAAAUCUCUUAAUUUUUAGAUUUGUCAACACAGUGUUUCUUAAAACGUUUCAAUUGCAAGGGACUGAAUGACUAUUUUCUAAACCUGAAGUGGACUACUUUUCAGAAUACUGAAUACUAGGGACUGCUUAAAAUAUUAAGUCUUAGUGGAUUAAGGUGAUGUUAGAGAGGCUUGAAGGUUUGUCAUGAUGGAUCUCCAUCAAACACGGAACACGAUAAGCUAAUAAAAAAACCUCCUGAUCGCAGACUGUUACUGUGAGAUUCACAAAGAAGAGAGGACCCAUUCACCAGUGUUACAGUCAUCUACUAUAAAAUUCAAAUGGGCGAACUACAAACUGGCAUAUUUGCACAAGGGAUACAUCAUGCAACUACUUCAUCAUGGACUCGGAGCCGCUCGUCAACAAACCUUACGAGCAGCUGCAGAUGGAGUCUGCGAGUCGGCUCGAGAAGAAGAAAUCCACUUCCCUCAGCGAGAAGUGCACGAGCGUCAAGAACAAC